rnacentral:rRNA from 1 species
GGCGAACGCUGGCGGCGUGCCUAACACAUGCAAGUCGAGCGGGCGCGAGCCUUCGGGCUUGCGCUAGCGGCGGACGGGUGCGUAACACGUGGGUAACCUGCCCGUCAGACCGGGAUAACCCUGGGAAACUGGGGCUAAUACCGGAUGGUCCGGCCUGGGCGCAUGCCUGGGUCGGUAAAGGUGGCCUCUGCCGCGAGGCAAGCUACCGCUGGCGGAGGGGCCCGCGGCCCAUCAGGUAGUUGGUGGGGUAACGGCCCACCAAGCCGACGACGGGUAG